GUGAACUCGAAGAGUAGGGCGGGACACGUGGUAUCCUGUCUGAAUAUGGGGGGACCAUCCUCCAAGGCUAAAUACUCCUGACUGACCGAUAGUGAACCAGUACCGUGAGGGAAAGGCGAAAAGAACCCCGGCGAGGGGAGUGAAAAAGAACCUGAAACCGUGUACGUACAAGCAGUGGGAGCACCUUCGGGUGUGACUGCGUACCUUUUGUAUAAUGGGUCAGCGACUUAUAUUCUGUAGCAAGGUUAACCGUAUAGGGGAGCCGCAGGGAAACCGAGUCUUAACUGGGCGUUAAGUUGCAGGGUAUAGACCCGAAACCCGGUGAUCUAGCCAUGGGCAGGUUGAAGGUUGGGUAACACUAACUGGAGGACCGAACCGACUAAUGUUGAAAAAUUAGCGGAUGACUUGUGGCUGGGGGUGAAAGGCCAAUCAAACCGGGAGAUAGCUGGUUCUCCCCGAAAGCUAUUUAGGUAGCGCCUCGUGA
rnacentral:rRNA from 1 species